UGGGGAAUUUUGGACAAUGGGCGCAAGCCUGAUCCAGCAAUGCCGCGUGCAGGAUGAAGGCCUUCGGGUUGUAAACUGCUUUUGUACGGAACGAAAAAGCUCUCUCUAAUACAGGGGGUGAAUGACGGUACCGUAAGAAUAAGCACCGGCUAACUACGUGCCAGCAGCCGCGGUAAUACGUAGGGUGCGAGCGUUAAUCGGAAUUACUGGGCGUAAAGCGUGCGCAGGCGGUUUUGUAAGACAGAUGUGAAAUCCCCGGGCUUAACCUGGGAACUGCGUUUGUGACUGCAGGGCUGGAGUACGGCAGAGGGGGGUGGAAUUCCACGUGUAGCAGUGAAAUGCGUAGAGAUGUGGAGGAACACCGAUGGCGAAGGCAGCCCCCUGGGCCUGUACUGACGCUCAUGCACGAAAGCGUGGGGAGCAAACA
rnacentral:rRNA from 1 species